rnacentral:rRNA from 1 species
GUGAGGAAUUUUCCGCAAUGGGCGAAAGCCUGACGGAGCAAUGCCGCGUGAAGGAUGAAGGCCUAUGGGUUGUAAACUUCUUUUCUCAGAAAAGAAUUAUGACGGUAUCUGAGGAAUAAGCAUCGGCUAACUCUGUGCCAGCAGCCGCGGUAAGACAGAGGAUGCAAGCGUUAUCCGGAAUGAUUGGGCGUAAAGCGUCUGUAGGUUGUUUAAAAAGUAUUCUGUCAAAGAUUAGGGCUUAACCCUAGAUAGGCAGAAUAAACUUUUAAGCUAGAGUUUGAUAGAGGCAGAGGGAAUUCCCGGUGGAGCGGUGAAAUGCGUAGAUAUCGGGAGGAACACCAAAGGCGAAGGCACUCUGCUGGGCCAAUACUAACACUGAGAGACGAAAGCGAGGGGAGCAAAUGGGAUUAGAAACCCCGGUAGUCC